ACGCUUAGUAAACAGUUUCUUUCAUAUUUUUUUCAUCACAAUUAAUUUUGAUUGUCAAUUUUAAUGUUAAUUAAUUUGACCAUUUUUGUCAUUUCUUUUUUUUUAAUUGUUCAACUUGAUCGCUUUGUCAAUGUCUCUUCACUUUUGCUUGACUAAAAUGUUUCCAUUUAGACUCAAUUGGAAAUCAUUUUAUUUUCAUUUUCAACAUUUCACUUGAUUUGUUUUUCUUUUGAUUUUGAUUGUGAUAAUUUAAGUAAUUUUUUAUUGUAUUUUCUUGGAUGGAUCAAAUUUCCUGUUUUUAAUUAUGUUUAUUUUAAUAGUAUGGCAAUUUCUGUUCCUAUAAAUUGGUUACAAUUGAUUGGUUGGCUAUUAUUUAACACCAAGAACGAUAUGAAAUUAAGUUAACAGCAUCUCAACAAAAGAAAUGAUAAUCAAAUGAAAUCCAAUUGAGGAUUGGGAGGAAAAAAGUUAACGGAUUAACUAUUGACAAUACAAUUUGAUUAGCUGAUUGGUGAUUAUUGUUAUUUUCAUAAUGAUUAAGUGGAUUCUGUAAAACCGAUUAGCUGUUAUGUUCAAAAUUUAAUCUCCUUCCAAAAAAUGAGACCAAUAAUUGUUACGAAACAAAUGAAAACGUCCAAUUGUGAUCAAAGUGAAUUGAUUGCUUGAUUUGAUGUCGAUUUCAUUAAAUCAAAUGAACAAUUUCCUGAUAAUCAAAAACUUUCCAACCAAAAGAAGUCAUUUCCCAUCAAUUUACCAACACCAUACAUCGUUAAUUAGUUGAUCAUUAAACAAUAAUUUCAUCCGAUUCAACAAUUAACUCAACGUGGAAACAAAAAUGGAAAUUAAUCCGAUUGCUGAACAAAAUCAAAUUAAUCAAUGAAACAAUUUACCAUCUUAACCCUGUUAAUAUUUGCUAAUCCCAAUGAAUCAGAAUAAGAAAGCUGAACAAUAAGGAUCAAAAGAUUAACCAACAAUUAACUUCCGAUCGAUCCAUCACCAGUAGGAUAUCAAUCAACAAUUAAGAGUUGAUUAAAAAUUAACUAUUUGGUUAACCAUUACUUGGAUCUUAACACAAUCAAAAGUAAACAGUUGAAUCAAUAGAAAGAUAAUUAACUGUAAACAAGUGAAUUUUAAUUUAAUUGUAAAAGUCAAUUGAUUCUAAUAGACUUUAAAUUGUAUCCUUGAUUGUUAAUUGAUGAUGAUGAUGAUUAGAA